rnacentral:rRNA from 1 species
UAGAGUUUGAUCCUGGCUCAGAUUGAACGCUGGCGGCAGGCCUAACACAUGCAAGUCGAACGGUAACAGGAAGAAGCUUGCUUCUUUGCUGACGAGUGGCGGACGGGUGAGUAAUGUCUGGGAAACUGCCUGAUGGAGGGGGAUAACUACUGGAAACGGUAGCUAAUACCGCAUAACGUCGCAAGACCAAAGAGGGGGACCUUCGGGCCUCUUGCCAUCGGAUGUGCCCAGAUGGGAUUAGCUAGUAGGUGGGGUAACGGCUCACCUAGGCGACGAUCCCUAGCUGGUCUGAGAGGAUGACCAGCCACACUGGAACUGAGACACGGUCCAGACUCCUACGGGAGGCAGCAGUGGGGAAUAUUGCACAAUGGGCGCAAGCCUGAUGCAGCCAUGCCGCGUGUAUGAAGAAGGCCUUCGGGUUGUAAAGUACUUUCAGCGGGGAGGAAGGGAGUAAAGUUAAUACCUUUGCUCAUUGACGUUACCCGCAGAAGAAGCACCGGCUAACUCCGUGCCAGCAGCCGCGGUAAUACGGAGGGUGCAAGCGUUAAUCGGAAUUACUGGGCGUAAAGCGCACGCAGGCGGUUUGUUAAGUCAGAUGUGAAAUCCCCGGGCUCAACCUGGGAACUGCAUCUGAUACU